UCCCUGAAGGGUCAUAGGGCUGUUCUCGUCUCCCUGAAGGGUCAUAGGACUGUUCUCGUCUCCCUGAAGGGUCAUAGGGCUGUUCUCGUCUCCCUGAAGGGUCAUAGGGCUGUUCUCGUCUCCCUGAAGGGUCAUAGGACUGUUCUCGUCUCCCUGAAGGGUCAUAGGACUGUUCUCGUCUCCCUGAAGGGUCAUAGGACUGUUCUCGUCUCCCUGAAGGGUCAUAGGGCUGUUCUCGUCUCCCUGAAGGGUCAUAGGGAGAAGACCAUGUGAUGAACUGCUGAGCCCUCCACUCCUCCCCAUCUCUCUCUCUUGGUCUCUCUCUCUGUCUCUCUCUCUCUACCUCUCUCUACCUCUCUCUACCUCUCUCUACCUCUCUCUACCUCUCUCUAGCUCUCUCUAUCUCUCUCUACCUCUGUGUCUCUCUCUCUCUGUGUCUCUCUGUGGUUGUGGUGUAAAUGCUGGGAUUCAUCACAAGCAGAAGGUCCUGUAUCUCCUACAUGCCUGAUUUGUUAGCGCAGAGAAGAAGUGGCAGGAAGUGCUCUUUCAUCAGCACACCAUCCUAGGUGACAUUAUCUGACUCCCAUUCCCCGAGAGCACUACCUGCCCUGAGGGGGAACGGUGGGAGGGAGGACAGUAGGAAGGAACGAGAGAGAGGGCUUCUUAUUUUUCUUCCUUCCCGAGGCGUUAAGGUGCCUGGUUGGAGCAGCACUGUGUCUGUUUCCAUGCAGAGUUUCAGCUGUCGCUAGGAUCCCAUUUAUCACCCUUCUGCAGAUCGCCCUCACAGGGGUGGCUAAUGACACACCGCUCUUCACUGCUGCUCAAUUUACGCUUUGUGUCUGUCUGCAUUUGUAUAGUGUUUUUCUGUGUGUGUGUGUGUGUGUGUGUGUGUCUGCAUUUGUAUAGUGUUUUUCUGUGUGUGUGUGUGUGUGCAUUUGUAUAGUGUUUUUCUGUGUGUGUCUGCAUUUGUAUAGUGUUUUUCUGUGUGUGUCUGCAUUUGUAUGGUGUUUUUCUGUGUGUGUGGAUAGUGGGAAAGUGGUGGAGUAACUAGCUAGGCCUCCAGGCAGUCACCACACAGUCCAGUACAUAGUUCUAAAGACCUGGAGGUCGGUCACCACACAGUCCAGUACAUAGUUCUAAAGACCUGGAGGUCGGUCACCACACAGUCCAGUACAUAGUUCUAAAGACCUGGAGGUCGGUCACCACACAGUCCAGUACAUAGUUCUAAAGACCUGGAGGUCGGUCACCACACAGUCCAGUACAUAGUUCUAAAGACCUGGAGGUCGGUCACCACACAGUCCAGUACAUGGUUCUAAAGACCUGGAGGUCGGUCACCACACAGUCCAGUACAUGGUUCUAAAGACCAGGAGGUCGGUCACCACACAGUCCAGUACAUGGUUCUAAAGACCAGGAGGUCGGUCACCACACAGUCCAGUACAUGGUUCUAAAGACCAGGAGGUCGGUCACCACACAGUCCAGUACAUGGUUCUAAAGACCAGGAGGUCGGUCACCACACAGUCCAGUACAUAGUUCUAAAGACCUGGAGGUCGGUCACCACACAGUCCAGUACAUGGUUCUAAAGACCAGGAGGUCGGUCACCACACAGUCCAGUACAUGGUUCUAGAGACCCGGAGGUCGGUCACCACACAGUCCAGUACAUGGUUCUAAAGACCCGGAGGUCGGUCACCACACAGUCCAGUACAUAGUUCUAGAGACCUGGAGGUCGGUCACCACACAGUCCAGUACAUGGUUCUAGAGACCUGGAGGUCGGUCACCACACAGUCCAGUACAUGGUUCUAGAGACCUGGAGGUCGGUCACCACACAGUCCAGUACAUGGUUCUAGAGACCUGGAGGUCGGUCACCACACAGUCCAGUACAUGGUUCUAAAGUUGAGGUAGCCGUUUGACAUGGCCUCCUGAAAUGGAACUCUAUUCUCGGUGUGAGAGGAGCGAUGGCGAGAAAAGCACAGCAGGGUUUUAAAACAGCCAGCACUGGAGCAUUCCGUGACCCCCGCUGAACUCCGGGCUCCAGCAAAGCAGGAGACAUUAAAGGGGCUGUCUGGACAAAACCAAAAGGAAAGGUCAGUGAAUGCCCUCUCAGCCCCUGUGCUCACUCACUGGCACCUAACUUCCCCUUUAAAAAGAACAUAGAGACUGAGGGAGAAAUAAAGAGAGGGAGGGGUGAAGAGAGAGGGAGAGAGAGAGAGAGAGCAGGUUCUCAUUUCCUUUUGUCUCUGUGCCCUGCAAAUUGAUCCUUUGGCUCAAAGUGAAAUAGCUUAACUGCAGUAUAAACAGACUGCCGCUGUUGCUCAUAAGGACUAGCAUUAGAGGAAAUUGGCUGGUAUUGGUAGCCCGACUGAGAAGGAGAGAAGGCAUGGGAAGGAGAGCAGUGUUUUAAAGCCCACGCACUCACUGCAGCCGGCGCGCUUGCAUGACCAAUACCAGAGGACAUCAGCUCCAGAGCCGACGGCCAUUUCUCACAGAGCAGUCGCUGAUUACUCUGGUGUGUGACUGUGUGUGUGUGUGUUUGAGCCUUCUGAGCAAGUUAUCCAGGAAGCGUCAGAGAAAUUGGGAUGAGAUGGCACCAGGGAAGCGUGCGACUUUGAAAGCCCGGCGUGCUGGGAACACGAGCCCCGACCGGAUUCAUUAAUCAAAACAGGACGUGGUGGGGGGGGGGGUUCAGGCUGUUGAACACUGAGCUUUUUAAGGUUCUUGGGUUACUCUGAGUACCACAAUGGAGGGGGCCCCAGUGUGUGCUUCUACGGUCAAUUUUAUGCAAGUUGACCCGGCCGAUCUUGUCACACCAUGUGAAGACUACUUCUGUCCUAAGGGUCUUGGUUGUUAUGGCGAUCAUAAAUGGUACGGAACAGCUUCCUCCAAUGCCAAAUAAACACGCAAAGGAUAUGGUCUGUGGUGCUUUAGAACACCACCUGGGUCCUCCACCUGGUCCACCACCUGGGUCCACCACCU